rnacentral:rRNA from 1 species
ACGGUCCUAAGGUAGCGAAAUUCCUUGUCGGGUAAGUUCCGACCUGCACGAAUGGCGUAAUGAUGGCCAGGCUGUCUCCACCCGAGACUCAGUGAAAUUGAACUCGCUGUGAAGAUGCAGUGUACCCGCGGCAAGACGGAAAGACCCCGUGAACCUUUACUAUAGCUUGACACUGAACAUUGAGCCUUGAUGUGUAGGAUAGGUGGGAGGCUUUGAAGCGUGGACGCCAGUCUGCGUGGAGCCAACCUUGAAAUACCACCCUUUAAUGUUUGAUGUUCUAACGUUGGCCCCUGACCGGGGUUGCGGACAGUGUCUGGUGGGUAGUUUGACUGGGGCGGUCUCCUCCCAAAGCGUAACGGAGGAGCACGAAGGUUAGCUAAUCCUGGUCGGACAUCAGGAGGUUAGUGCAAUGGCAUAAGCUAGCUUGACUGCGAGCGUGACGGCGCGAGCAGGUGCGAAAGCAGGUCAUAGUGAUCCGGUGGUUCUGAAUGGAAGGGCCAUCGCUCAACGGAUAAAAGGUACUCCGGGGAUAACAGGCUGAUACCGCCCAAGAGUUCAUAUCGACGGCGGUGUUUGGCACCUCGAUGUCGGCUCAUCACAUCCUGGGGCUGAAGUAGGUCCCAAGGGUAUGGCUGUUCGCCAUUUAAAGUGGUACGCGAGCUGGGUUUAGAACGUCGUGAGACAGUUCGGUCCCUAUCUGCCGUGGGUGUAGGAUACUUGAGAGGAUUUGUCCUUAGUACGAGAGGACCGGGAUGAACAUACCUCUGGUGUACCAGUUGUUCCGCCAGGAGCAACGCUGGGUAGCUAAGUAUGGACGGGAUAACCGCUGAAUGCAUCUAAGCGGGAAACCCACCUCAAAACAAGGUAUCCCAAUUAAGACCGUGGUAGACCACCACGUUGAUAGGUCAGGUGUGUAAGCGCAGCAAUGUGUUUAGCUAACUGAUACUAAUAGUCUGAUUGGCUUGAUUUU